GACAGAGGUGCCGAGCGUUAGGCGGAAUCACUGGGCUUAAAGCGUGUGUAGGCGGAUUUGUAAGUACCUUGUGAAAUCCCACGGCUCAACCGUGGAACUGCUCGGUAUACUGCUUAUCUUGAGCCACUUAGGGGCAGUCGGAACAGACGGUGGAGCGGUGAAAUGCGCAGAUAUCAGGAGGAACACCAAUGGCGAAGGCAGCUCGCUGGGACGGUACUGACGCUGAGGCGCGAAAGCGUGGGGAGCAAACAGG
rnacentral:rRNA from 1 species